rnacentral:rRNA from 1 species
AAGCURCGGCRGCUUAUACUGCAAGUCGAGGGGGAUUAGCUGGGUAGCAAUACUCGGCUAUGAGACCGGCAAACGGGUGCGGAACACGUACGCAACCUUCCCAAAACUGGUGAAUAGCCCUCCGAAAGGAGGAUUAAUACACCGUAACAUAAUGAAAUGGCAUCAUUUUAUUAUUAUAGCUCCGGCGGUUUUGGAUGGGCGUGCGCCUGAUUAGGUAGUUGGCGGGGUAACGGCCCACCAAGCCUGCGAUCAGUAACUGGUGUGAGAGCACGACCAGUCACACGGGCACUGAGACACGGGCCCGACUCCUACGGGAAGCAGCAGUAAGGAAUAUUGGUCAAUGGACGCAAGUCUGAACCAGCCAUGCCGCGUGAAGGAUGACGGCCCUCUGGGUUGUAAA